UACGAAGGGGACUAGCGUUGUUCGGAAUCACUGGGCGUAAAGCGCACGUAGGCGGAUGUGUCAGUCAGGGGUGAAAUCCCGGGGCUCAACCUCGGAACUGCCUUUGAUACAGCACGUCUCGAGUCCGGAAGAGGUGGGUGGAAUUCCUAGUGUAGAGGUGAAAUUCGUAGAUAUUAGGAAGAACACCGGUGGCGAAGGCGGCCCACUGGUCCGGUACUGACGGCUGAGGUGCGAAAGCGUGGGGAGCAAACAGG
rnacentral:rRNA from 1 species